rnacentral:tRNA from 1 species
GCUUUGAUAGCUCAGUUGGUAGAGCAUUGCACCUGUAACGCAAAGGUCGUGGGUUCGAAUCCUGUUCAGAGCC